UGCUGGGCCUGCUCACUCACUGGCUGUAGAAAUGAGAAAGGAGAUGAAGAAAAGGCCCUUCCCAUGGGUCCCCAUCUUGCCAAGACAUAGACCUCCACAACUGUGUUCAAGAACCUUCAGCCAGGGCCUCAUCUCCAAUCUGGAUAUAUGAUUUUUCUCGCCAAGAGUAGGCCUCCAGGUUUUGGAGUUCUAGAGGUUUCUCCUGGAGCUGCCUGGACCUCUGCUCCUCACCACCCCAGGACGCUGUGAAGCUGCAGGCUCCCUGAAUAAAUUCAUCCAGACCCCUUG